rnacentral:rRNA from 1 species
AGUGAACGCUGGCGGUAGGCCUAACACAUGCAAGUCGAACGGCAGCACAGUAAGAGCUUGCUCUUACGGGUGGCGAGUGGCGGACGGGUGGGAAAUACAGGAAAAUAUACUUUUGCGGGGGGGAACGCGGGGGAACACAUGCGCAAAUAGCACAUAAGAUAUGGGGGAAAGAACGGGGGCUUUGGAGAUUGUGCGCGAGAAAGAGACGAUGUCGGAUUAGCUAGUUGGCGGGGUAAAGGCCCACCAAGGCGACGAUCCGUAGCUGGUCUGAGAGGAUGAUCAGCCACACUGGAACUGAGACACGGUCCAGACUCCUACGGGAGGCAGCAGUGGGGAAUAUUGGACAAUGGGCGCAAGCCUGAUCCAGCCAUACCGCGUGGGUGAAGAAGGCCUUCGGGUUGUAAAGCCCUUUUGUUGGGAAAGAAAAGCAGCAGGUUAAUACCCCGCUGUUCUGACGGUACCCAAAGAAUAAGCACCGGCUAACUUCGUG